rnacentral:rRNA from 1 species
GACGAACGCUGGCGGCGUGCUUAACACAUGCAGGUCGAACGGAAGGGCCCUGCUUUUGUGGGGUGCUCGAGUGGCGAACGGGUGAGUAACACGUGAGUAACCUGCCCUUGACUUUGGGAUAACUUCAGGAAACUGGGGCUAAUACCGGAUAGGAGCUCCUGCUGCAUGGUGGGGGUUGGAAAGUUUCGGCGGUUGGGGAUGGACUCGCGGCUUAUCAGCUUGUUGGUGGGGUAGUGGCUUACCAAGGCUUUGACGGGUAGCCGGCCUGAGAGGGUGACCGGCCACAUUGGGACUGAGAUACGGCCCAGACUCCUACGGGAGGCAGCAGUGGGGAAUAUUGCGCAAUGGGCGGAAGCCUGAUGCAGCAACGCCGCGUGCGGGAUGACGGCCUUCGGGUUGUAAACCGCUUUCGCCUGUGACGAAGCGUGAGUGACGGUAAUGGGUAAAGAAGCACCGGCUAACUACGUG